GGCCUCUCUCGGCAGCACAUAUACUAAAAUUGGAACGAUACAGAGAAGAUUAGCAUGGACCCUGAGUGGACUGAAAUAAUCUUGGCCUAGGUUAGAUUGUAUU
rnacentral:snRNA from 1 species